CAGUAGCCGCGGUAAUACGUAGGGUGCAAGCGUUAAUCGGAAUUACUGGGCGUAAAGCGUGCGCAGGCGGUUAUAUAAGACAGAUGUGAAAUCCCCGGGCUCAACCUGGGAACUGCAUUUGUGACUGUAUAGCUAGAGUACGGCAGAGGGGGAUGGAAUUCCGCGUGUAGCAGUGAAAUGCGUAGAUAUGCGGUGGAACACCGAUGGCGAAGGCAAUCCCCUGGGCCUGUACUGACGCUCAUGCACGAAAGCGUGGGGAGCAAACAGGAUUAGAUACCCGUGUAGUCCCUGUCUCUUAUAC
rnacentral:rRNA from 1 species